CCAACAGUUGAGAUGAUUUCCCUAGAAUCAUACAACCUAUUAUCUUCACAUUCAUUCACUGUCUUCACUCUCUCUCUCUCUUACUCUGACUCUCACUCUCCUCUUCCAUUUUCCUCCUCUAUCAUUGAAACACCCAUAUCUCUCUCUCUCUCUCUCUCUCUCUCUCUCUCUGUGUGUCUUUGUCUUCACUCUCCCUCUCACUGUCUCACUCUUCUCUUUUGUUUUCCUCCUCCAUCAUGGGGACGUCUCUCUGUGUGGGUCUUUGAGCUCAAGAGCAGUAUACUCUUCGAUCUGUCAUGGUGUUGUCUCCGAUCUCUCUCUCUCUCUCUCUCGUCAAACCUCUCCGAUUUGUCUCUCUCUCUCUCUCUCUCUUUCUGUAGUCAAACCUCUCAGUUGAAGAAGAAGCCCUCGAGGUCGAUCCAGGUUCACUCAUGCAUUUUCAUUGUUCUAGGCCCAAUAGCAACUACCACAGUUAAGAUGUUGCAAUUGAAGUACUUGAGUGACUUAGAGAUGCGGUGGAUUGACCUUAAAAGAUUAUUUCCCAAUUUGAUUUACUUAGAGAAAGUAGAAUGUCCCAGCUAAUUACUUGCUUUCCGUGUGAUGAGAAUGGUGUUUGGAGGGGCAGAGGCAAAAUUUAGAAAUUGCAAAUUGAUGUCUUGAGAUAUAGUAGUAAUUUUCUUCUCUCAUGACAGACUAGCUCUACUUAUUCAUUUGUUGAAUUAAAUGUAGUCCAUGACUUCAGGGUCAUUCAUCAA